AUUGAACGCUGGCGGCAGGCCUAACACAUGCAAGUCGAGCGAGCGGCGGACGGGUGAGUAAUGUAUGGGGACUGCCCGAUGGAGGGGGAUAACUACUGGAAACGGUAGCUAAUACCGCAUACUAUCGGAUAACCCAUAUGGGAUUAGCUAGUAGGUGAGGUAAUGGCUCACCUAGGCGACGAUCCCUAGCUGGUCUGCGAGGAUGAUCAGCCACACUGGGACUGAGACACGGCCCAGAGUCCUACGGAGGCAGCAGUGGGGAAUAGUGCACAAUGGGCGCAAGCCUGAUGCAGCCAUGCCGCGUGUAUGAAGAAGGCCCUAGGGUUGUAAAGUACUUUUGGCAGAGAAGCGGUAGCUGCAGAAUAAGCACCGGCUAACUACGUGCCAGCAGCCGCGGUAAUUC
rnacentral:rRNA from 1 species